rnacentral:lncRNA from 13 species
GUGUGCAAGUUGGUGUCCACUUCUAUAUUACAGCCCUGUCAUGUUUUCCACUGUAUCUGUCCAGCCGCUUCAUGCUGUGGUAGGUUGAUUGUUGUGCUCGCUGUUCACUUUGCUGUGUGUUGCUGGUUGUACAGUCUGAUGGAGGUUGUGUUGCUGGUUGUACAGUCUGAUGCAGGUUGUGUUGCUGGUUGUACAGUCUGAUGGAGGUUGUGUUGCUGGUUGUACAGUCUGAUGCAGGUUGUGUUGCUGGUUGUACAGUCUGAUGGAGGNNNNNNNNNNCCGCUAAGAGAAGAGACGCGCCGCUAAGAGAAGAGACGCGCCGCUAAGAGAAGAGACGCGCCGCUAAGAGAAGAGACGCGCCGCUAAGAGAAGAGACGCGCCGCUAAGAGAAGAGACGCGCCGCUAAGAGAAGAGACGCGCCGCUAAGACAAAUGACCAAAAGCAGCGGAGGCCGCGGUGAGUUCACGCUCACCUGCUGGGUGGCGGUGAACGGUGGCGUUUUUAACAUAGAGAGUUUUUGGGAAAAUG